UAAUUUAAUCCCUUCUGUGAGAAGACAGACUUCCUCCCUUCCUCAUUAGCUUCCCUCUCCCUCUAAUCAUUCCAGGAUCUAGGGCCCCAUACACACAAGGACACUGCUCUACUGCUGAGCCACAUCCAGCCCUGAAGACUUGGUCGAUGUCCAGGUUCUGGCUUCCAAGGGUUUGCUUUGCUGUCUUGGUCAUUGGUUGGGAUAUUAUAAAAUUCUGGAACCCACUCUGGAGUGGAAACUUUCAAUGGUUUCAUUUGAAGACGACUUUGACACAGACAUGGAACUCAUAGCUGCAAGCUCUAGCCAUUUUCUCUGUUGCACCCGGAGAGCUGAGGUCUACAUGCAAGGGAGAAGAAGCAUGGUCCUCAGGCAGUGGAUCUGCUAGUGCUCUGGUGAGACACAUGAAUCCCCUCUAAUGCUAUGGAUGACAGCCAUGAUGGGAUGUGGCAAUUGACAACAUCCCAGAGUAGGCAUCUGGGUGAUGAAGCUUAAGGUCAUCUGAAGAAUCCUGGCCCUCUUGCCUCUAGUCACGGUGGCUGGAGGGAGUAGCUAUUAGCUCCGCAGUCUGUGUAUACCCAGCUGUAUCAAGCACUACUCUGAUCCAGGACUUCGCAAAGUCAACAGGUCUACUGGACAACAUGAACAACACCCUCCAUUCCAACUUUCACAUCUGAAAGAGGUGGAAAGGAACUGAGGGCUGAGCAGCCGGAACCCGCCUCUGUA
rnacentral:lncRNA from 1 species